GACGAACGCUGGCGGCGUGCUUAACACAUGCAAGUCGAACGGUAAGGCCCUUCGGGGUACACGAGUGGCGAACGGGUGAGUAACACGUGGGUGAUCUGCCCUGCACUUCGGGAUAAGCCUGGGAAACUGGGUCUAAUACCGGAUAGGACUCCGGACUGCAUGGUCUGGGGUGGAAAGCUUUUGCGGUGUGGGAUGGGCCCGCGGCCUAUCAGCUUGUUGGUGGGGUGAUGGCCUACCAAGGCGACGACGGGUAGCCGGCCUGAGAGGGUGACCGGCCACAGUGGGGCUGAGAUACGGCCCAGACUCCUACGGGAGGCAGCAGUGGGGAAUAUUGCACAAUGGGCGCAAGCCUGAUGCAGCGACGCCGCGUGAGGGAUGACGGCCUUCGGGUUGUAAACCUCUUUCAGCAUCGACGAAGCGAAAGUGACGGUAGGUGCAGAAGAAGGACCGGCCAACUACGUGCCAGCAGCCGCCGUAA
rnacentral:rRNA from 1 species